rnacentral:rRNA from 1 species
UACGUAGGUGGCAAGCGUUGUCCGGAUUUACUGGGCGUAAAGAGCGCGCAGGCGGUCGUUCAAGUCGCGUGUGAAAGCCCCCGGCUCAACUGGGGAGGGUCACGCGAUACUGAUCGACUGGAAGGCAGGAGAGGGUAGUGGAAUUCCCGGUGUAGUGGUGAAAUGCGUAGAUAUCGGGAGGAACACCAGUGGCGAAAGCGACUUCCUGGACCAAUACUGACGCUCAUGUGCGAAAGCGUGGGGAGCAAACAGG